AUUUAUUUACAAACAAGAAAAAAAUAUAUAAUAACAAAACUGAAAUAUGGUACCCAAUUUAAAUUCAUUAUAAAUCGGUCACUACUCCGUCAUUUAUAUAUUUUCAAACAAUUAAUAUUAAUCAAUCAAACAGUGAAUAUAUUUAGUACUUAAAUUGUAUGAAUAAAUGUCUCAAAUCAAAUCAAUCAAGCAAUCAAUCAAAAUCAGUAUAAAAAAAUAUUUUUUCAAAACAAGUAUCACAAUCAUAAGCUGAAAGCGUCUAGUCUACCCUUUAGUGUCCCAUAUAUUAGUAGACCCAGAUCAAGAUACAGAAGGCGGCUUGUGGAUGUUUUACGUGAUGUUUCCUAAACAAUCAACAUAAAUAUUUUUUUAUUUGUUUAUUUAAAUAAAUAAAACAAAUCUUGGCAUCUCAUUUUAAACUACAACUUUUGUUAUAUGCUGAUUUUUCUUUUCCUAUAUUAAAAAACAUUAUUUUUUUUUGUUAAUAUUAAUAUUAACUUUGUUUUGUUGUUUUGAUUUGUAUGAAACUAGCUUUGUUUAAUAUUUAAUAAAAAAUAUUGAGUUCUUUUUCUUAA